GAUGAACGCUGGCGGCGUGCCUAAUACAUGCAAGUCGAGCGAACGGACGAGAGGCUUGCUUCUCUGAUGUUAGCGGCGGACGGGUGAGUAACACGUGGAUAACCUACCUAUAAGACUAGGAUAACUUCGGGAAACCGGAGCUAAUACCGGAUGAUAUUUUGAACCGCAUGGUUCAAAAGUGAAAGACGGUCUUGCUGUCACUUAUAGAUGGAUCCGCGCUGCAUUAGCUAGUUGGUAAGGUAACGGCUUACCAAGGCAACGAUGCAUAGCCGACCUGAGAGGGUGAUCGGCCACACUGGAACUGAGACACGGUCCAGACUCCUACGGGAGGCAGCAGUAGGGAAUCUUCCGCAAUGGGCGAAAGCCUGACGGAGCAACGCCGCGUGAGUGAUGAAGGUCCUCGGAUCGUAAAACUCUGUUAUUAGGGAAGAACAUAUGUGUAAGUAACUGUGCACAUCUUGACGGUACCUAAUCAGAAAGCCACGGCUAACUACGUG
rnacentral:rRNA from 1 species